AAGGGCGAAGCUGAGAACUUAAGCGCCAGUAAACGGCGGUGGUAACUAUAACCAUCCUAAGGUAGCGAAAUUCCUUGUCGGGUAAGUUCCGACCUGCACGAAUGGCGUAACGACUUCUCGACUGUCUCAACCGCAGGCCCGGCGAAAUUGCAUUACGAGUAAAGAUGCUCGUUACGCGCGGCAGGACGGAAAGACCCCGGGACCUUUACUAUAGCUUGGUAUUGGUGUUCGAUUCGGCUUGUGUAGGAUAGGUGGGAGACUGUGAAGCGGCCACGCCAGUGGUUGUGGAGUCAUCGUUGAAAUACCACUCUGGUCGUAUUGGAUGUCUAACCUCGGUCCGUGAUCCGGAUCAGGGACAGUGCCUGGUGGGUAGUUUAACUGGGGCGGUUGCCUCCCAAAGAGUAACGGAGGCGCUCAAAGGUUCCCUCAGCCUGGUUGGCAAUCAGGUGUUGAGUGCAAGUGCACAAGGGAGCUUGACUGUGAGACUGACGGGUCGAGCAGGGACGAAAGUCGGAACUAGUGAUCCGGCCAUGGCUUGUGGAAGCGUGGUCGCUCAACGGAUAAAAGGUACCCCGGGGAUAACAGGCUGAUCUUCCCCAAGAGUCCAUAUCGACGGGAUGGUUUGGCACCUCGAUGUCGGCUCGUCGCAUCCUGGGGCUGGAGUAGGUCCCAAGGGUUGGGCUGUUCGCCCAUUAAAGCGGUACGCGAGCUGGGUUUAGAACGUCGUGAGACAGUUCGGUCCCUAUCCGCCGCGCGCGUAGGAUACUUGAGGAAGGCUGUCCCUAGUACGAGAGGACCGGGACGGACGGACCGCUGGUGUGCCAGUUGUUCUGCCAAGAGCAUUGCUGGUUGGCUACGUUCGGAAGGGAUAACCGCUGAAGGCAUCUAAGCGGGAAGCUCGUUCCAAGAUGAGGUAUCCCACUCUUCGUGAGUUAAGGCCCCCAG
rfam:Lentzea albidocapillata strain DSM 44073 genome assembly, contig: LX89DRAFT_NODE_2_len_883_cov_73_047562.36